rnacentral:rRNA from 1 species
ACUCCUACGGGAGGCAGCAGUGGGGAAUAUUGCACAAUGGGCGCAAGCCUGAUGCAGCCAUGCCGCGUGUGUGAAGAAGGCCUUCGGGUUGUAAAGCACUUUCAGUUGUGAGGAAGGUGGUGUCGUUAAUAGCGGCAUCAUUUGACGUUAGCAACAGAAGAAGCACCGGCUAACUCCGUGCCAGCAGCCGCGGUAAUACGGAGGGUGCGAGCGUUAAUCGGAAUUACUGGGCGUAAAGCGCAUGCAGGUGGUUUGUUAAGUCAGAUGUGAAAGCCCGGGGCUCAACCUCGGAACUGCAUUUGAAACUGGCAGACUAGAGUACUGUAGAGGGGGGUAGAAUUUCAGGUGUAGCGGUGAAAUGCGUAGAGAUCUGAAGGAAUACCGGUGGCGAAGGCGGCCCCCUGGACAAAGACUGACGCUCAGAUGCGAAAGCGUGGGGAGCAAACAGGAUUAGAUACCCUGGUAGCACAAG